AUUUGGUCGUAGACCCGAAACCAGGUGAUCUACCCUUGGUCAGGUUGAAGUUCAGGUAACACUGAAUGGAGGACCGAACCGACUUACGUUGAAAAGUGAGCGGAUGAACUGAGGGUAGCGGAGAAAUUCCAAUCGAACCUGGAGAUAGCUGGUUCUCUCCGAAAUAGCUUUAGGGCUAGCCUCAAGUGAUGAUUAUUGGAGGUAGAGCACUGUUUGGACGAGGGGCCCCUCUCGGGUUACCGAAUUCAGACAAACUCCGAAUGCCAAUUAAUUUAACUUGGGAGUCAGAACAUGGGUGAUAAGGUCCGUGUUCGAAAGGGAAACAGCCCAGACCACCAGCUAAGGUCCCAAAAUAUAUGUUAAGUGGAAAAGGAUGUGGCGUUGCCCAGACAACUAGGAUGUUGGCUUAGAAGCAGCCAUCAUUUAAAGAGUGCGUAAUAGCUCACUAGUCGAGUGACACUGCGCCGAAAAUGUACCGGGGCUAAACAUAUUACCGAAGCUGUGGAUUGUCCUUUGGACAAUGGUAGGAGAGCGUUCUAAGG
rnacentral:rRNA from 1 species